rnacentral:rRNA from 1 species
GAUGAACGCUGGCGGCGUGCCUAAUACAUGCAAGUCGAGCGAACGGACGAGAAGCUUGCUUCUCUGAUGUUAGCGGCGGACGGGUGAGUAACACGUGGAUAACCUACCUAUAAGACUGGGAUAACUUCGGGAAACCGGAGCUAAUACCGGAUAAUAUUUUGAACCGCAUGGUUCAAAAGUGAAAGACGGUCUUGCUGUCACUUAUAGAUGGAUCCGCGCUGCAUUAGCUAGUUGGUAAGGUAACGGCUUACCAAGGCAACGAUGCAUAGCCGACCUGAGAGGGUGAUCGGCCACACUGGAACUGAGACACGGUCCAGACUCCUACGGGAGGCAGCAGUAGGGAAUCUUCCGCAAUGGGCGAAAGCCUGACGGAGCAACGCCGCGUGAGUGAUGAAGGUCUUCGGAUCGCAAAACUCUGUUAUUAGGGAAGAACAUAUGUGUAAGUAACUGUGCACAUCUUGACGGUACCUAAUCAGAAAGCCACGGCUAACUACGUG